CUGUUUCUUACAUGUCACUCCGGACUACAGUUCCCAUCAUCCAUUGCACUGAUUACACACACACAGCUGAAUGCACUGAUCACACAUACACAGCUGAAUCCAGUAAGACACGCUUUAUAAGCCUUGGACUUCCUCUUUCUCACUGCUGAGUAUUGUUGAGUGUAGCCAUUCCAAGUUUCUGGUCCUAGUUUAAGUCUAGUCAUUUCGUGUUGUCUGGUUCCUGAUCUUCUGCCUGUGUAUCUUGGAUUAACCCUUUGCCUGCUGUUUCGGACUGUCCUUGCAUAUGGAUCCUCACGUCUCGUUCGCCCCGUAACAGUUGGCUCUGUGACAGAUUAUGUUCCUAUAUUCUUCCAUGCUGAUGGCCGUGCAGCAUAGUUGGAGGGGACCUCUUGUCGAAGAACAUCUCCAAAGCACUAUAAACCAUCUGACUAGGCUGUUCGUGAAGACCAAUAAUCAAGAGCUGUGGUGACGACCUGGACCGAAUUCAGAUCCACCCUCCACACCAGACUUCUCACUCCCAAGAAUUGCUGUCUAGUAGCAUAUUGUGAUCUCUUCAGAGUUAGCUGCAUGCAGAUAUUACUUGAUCGUAGAUAUAAUUAAUACUUGAAUAUUGCAAAAAUAGGGAAUGUAUGUUAUUUAAAAAUUGUUAAUUGCUUAAAUAUUAAAGCACCUAAAAGCCAUUUCACACUUGCCAUACUCCAACAGGGUGACUGCACUGACCAAACAAAACAAGGUGUUUUUUUUUUUAUUGUUUUUGUGGCAGUGUGAAAUGACCAUAAUGCUGUAUGUUAGGUGUGAGAGUCAUUAAACUUGGUUUGCUAUAAUGCAUCUAUUCAUAAGUGAUAUCUUUGUCAAAGUAUUCUUUCAGUGGUUAACUAACUCGUUAAGACCGUCCCUUGCUCCCACCUACUGGCAUAACGAUGUAACCUGCAAUGAAAGAAGCCCAGGCAUGAUUUUGUUUUUAUUUUUUGCAUAUGAUUUCCAAUUAAUUAUUGGCAGUGGGUUGGUUAAGGGCCUGAUUAGCUGAUGUAUUACAAUGCUUGCUUCGGGUUGAAUAGGGGAUCAUGUAAUUAGCUGAGAAAUUGUGCAUUGUUAAUGGUAGCUCUUAAAUUUAAAUUCAGUGUGUUGAAUGCCUACUAAGGCUUGCAUAUUUGUGCAUAAUGCAAAAUAAAGUUUUGCUUGUUCAUGCUGAACUGGUGUUAAUGUACUCUUUGUCAA